rnacentral:rRNA from 1 species
GUGCACCAGUCGCGAAUCUUCCACAAUGGGGGAAACCCUGAUGGAGCGACGCCGCGUGCGGGACGAAGGCCCUAUGGGUUGUAAACCGCUGUUCAGUGGAAAGAACAUCCUCCGGCUGAAUAGGUCGGAGGCCUGACGUUACCACUGCAGAAAGUCCCGGCCAACUCCGUGCCAGCAGCCGCGGUAAUACGGGGGGGACGGAGCGUUGUCCGGAAUCAUUGGGCGUAAAGGGCGCGUAGGCGGCGAGGAAAGUCGAAUGUGAAAUCUUGCGGCUCAACUGCAAAACUAGCGUUCGAAACUUCCUCGCUUGAGUAUGAGAGAGGUGUGCGGAAUUCCUGGUGUAGCGGUGGAAUGCGUAGAUAUCAGGAGGAACACCGGUGGGC